rnacentral:rRNA from 1 species
UACAGAGGUCCCAAGCGUUGUUCGGAUUCACUGGGCGUAAAGGGUGCGUAGGUGGUUAGGUAAGUCCGAUGUGAAAUCUCCAGGCUCAACCUGGAAAUGGCAUUGGAUACUAUUUAGCUCGAGGAGUGGAGGGGGGGACUGGAAUUCUCGGUGUAGCAGUGAAAUGCGUAGAUAUCGAGAGGAACACCAGUGGCGAAGGCGAGUCCCUGGACACUUCCUGACACUGAGGCACGAAAGCUAGGGGGAGCAAACAGG